AAACGAAUGCCUCGUAAAUUUGGUGACUCUGAAUAGCUUAGCUGAUCGCAUGGUCUCGCACCGGCGACGUAUCUAUCAAGUGUCUGCCUUAUCAACUUUCGAUGGUAGUUUAUAUGCCUACCAUGGUUGUAACGGGUAACGGAGAAUAAGGGUUCGACUCCGGAGAGGGAGCCUGAGAAACGGCUACCACAUCCAAGGAAGGCAGCAGGCGCGCAAAUUACCCACUCUCAGCACGAGGAGGUAGUGACGAAAAAUAACGAGACCGUUCUCUUCGAGGCCGGUUAUCGGAAUGAGUACAACUUAAAGCCGUUAACAAGGAUCUAUGAGAGGGCAAGUCUGGUGCCAGCAGCCGCGGUAAUUCCAGCUCUCAAAGUGUAUAUCGUCAUUGCUGCGGUUAAAAAGCUCGUAGUUGGAUUUAAGCUCGAUGACUCGGUCCAUCCAUAGGAUGAGAACUGAGCUCAUCGGCUAAUCAUCAGCUGGUUUUGCCUAGGUGGCUUUAAACGGUCGCCUAGGCUGGCUAGCAAGUUUACUUUGAAAAAAUUAGAGUGCUCAACGCGGGCUUAAUGCCUGAAUAGUCGUGCAUGGAAUAAUGGAAUAGGAUUUCGGUUCUAUUUUGUUGGUUUUUUUAACCGAAAUAAUGGUUAAGAGGGACAGACGGGGGCAUUCGUAUCGCUACGUGAGAGGUGAAAUUCUUGGACCGUAGCGAGACGCCCGACUGCGAAAGCAUUUGCCAAGAAUGUCUUCAUUAAUCAAGAACGAAAGUCAGAGGUUCGAAGGCGAUCAGAUACCGCCCUAGUUCUGACCGUAAACGAUACCAACUAGCGUUCCGCCGGCGGUAAAUACGCCUUGGCGGGCAGCUUCCCGGAAACGAAAGUGUUUCGGUUCCGGGGGAAGUAUGGUUGCAAAGCUGAAACUUAAAGAAAUUGACGGAAGGGCACCACCAGGAGUGGAGCCUGCGGCUUAAUUUGACUCAACACGGGAAAACUCACCUGGCCCGGACACCGUGAGGAUUGACAGAUUGAGAGCUCUUUCUUGAUUC
rnacentral:rRNA from 1 species